AUGCGUCCCUGAGGCCUGGGUCCCAGGGGCUCUCCGCGCCCGGUCGCCCCUUCCCGGAGUCGCCAUGUCCAGACCUUGUCACCGGCCCGGGACCACCCCGUCGGCCGGGCGGGGUGAAGCGCCGUUAGGAAGGACGGUCCCAUGGGAUGGGGGGCCGGGGAACAGGAGACGCACUCCAGGUCGGGAGAAGAGGACGGACUGCGCAGAGUAGAGGCCGCAGAGGGUCGGCCGGGGAGCGCGGGGGUCCCUCCACACGCUCCCCGUCCCCGCUUCCCACACGGCUCCCUUCGGACCCCAGGGCAGGUGGGGACGAAGA
rnacentral:lncRNA from 1 species